CCCGAGAGAGGUUCUGGGCUCAGCAACCUGUGCUGGGAAAAGGAGCAGCAGGCAGCCCUGGCAAGUCUCAGCGAGGUGGUCUGCCCCCAGGGAAUGGGUGAGGAUGCCCCUGUGAGACUGCAGUACCAGCCCCCCCUCCAUCAGCCACACCCCAGUACUGUCAUCCAUUCCUGAGAGCCCCACCCCAGCUUUUAAAGUCACAGUGUUAGAUUGUGACUGGGGUUACAGAUGGGACUUGUCAUGCCUGGCUUCUAAGUGGGUUCUAGCAUCUGAACUAAAGUGCUGGCGCUUGUAUGGCAGGAACUCUACCAGGUGCUGGAAGACUCGGGUCCUCUACCAACAAGACACCCAAAAGGGACACAUACGACCCAAGGCAUGGACAGUUCUCCUGAAGGCACAGGGUGAUGCUUACUUAGCAGUCUGAGUCAGUGAGGAAGCCACUGAGUCACCAAAGAUGGGACUUCAUCAGGAAGAGUGCCGGUCCCUGACUCCUCUGGGCAUACCUUCGUCUUGAGAAGCAGAGGUCCCACCCUGGGCUGGGUUUCUUAUUUCCUGGCACACGGCUGUGAGAACAAUCCCACUGGUCAGAAUCCCCGAUGUCUGUCCAGGCUGAGAGUGGUGCCUCGAAGGAGGCUGGGGUGGAGUGCCUCAUUGUGGAGUCCUCGAAGGGAGGGAGGAGACACACCCACAAUUCUAUCACCAACACCCUGAAACCCACAGUGUCUUCCCAGGGACACCCCAGAAGCAUGAGAGGUGCCUGUGAACUAGAGGGUACUGUCUGAUUGACAACCAGUUCUUACUUAAUGCGAAGAGGGAGCAAAGCAAACUCGGACACAGGCCAGCUCCAGGGCUCAGAUAUGGUUCGUUAGCUGAUUUUGUUUGUUUGUUUGGAAUAAAGUCUUAACACAUAUCCCA